GCUUGUCUCAAAGAUUAAGCCAUGCAUGUCUAAGUAUAAACAACUUUAUACUGUGAAACUGCGAACGGCUCAUUAUAUCAGCAAUAAUUUAUUUGAUGGUUCCUUACUACACGGAUAACUGUAGUAAUUCUAGAGCUAAUACGUGCGUAAAAUCCCGACUCUUGCGGGGAGGGAUGUAUUUAUUAGAUAAAAAGCCAGCGCGGGUUCUGCCCGGUUUUGUGGUGAAUCAUAGUAACUUUUCGAAUCGCAUGGCUUCACGCCGGCGAUAGUUCAUUCAAAUUUCUGCCCUAUCAGCUUUCGACGGUAGUGUAGUGGACUACCGUGGCAUUAACGGGUAACGGAGAAUUAGGGUUCGAUUCCGGAGAGGGAGCCUGAGAAACGGCUACCACAUCCAAGGAAGGCAGCAGGCGCGCAAAUUACCCAAUUCUGACACAGAGAGGUAGUGACAAAAAAUAACAAUACCUGGCUUCUUUAGGUCGGGUAAUUGCAAUGAGUACAAUUUAAAUCCCUUAACGAG
rnacentral:rRNA from 1 species